CCUCCGAUAGCUCAGUUGGAAGAGCGCAAGACUGUAAUGGGAUACCCGCUUCAUCUUGAGGCCGCUAGUUCGAUCCUGGCUCGGAGGA
rnacentral:tRNA from 1 species